rnacentral:rRNA from 1 species
AACUUAAAGGAAUUGACGGGGACCCGCACAAGCAGCGGAGCGUGUGGUUUAAUUCGUUGCUACACGAAGAACCUUACCUAGGUUUGACAUAUAGGUUUGUAGGGAACUGAAAAGGGACCGACCCUUCGGGGAGCCUAUACAGGUGUUGCAUGGCUGUCGUCAGCUCGUGUCGUGAGAUGUUCGGUUAAGUCCGCUAACGAGCGCAACCCUCGUCGUAUGUUACAAGUGUCAUACGAGACUGCCGGUAAAAAGUCGGAGGAAGGUGAGGAUGAUGUCAAGUCAGCAUGACCUUUAUAUCUAGGGCUACACACACGCUACAAUGGUCUGUACAAUGGGUUGCCAAGCCGCGAGGCGGAGCCAAUCCUAAAAAGCAGGCCUCAGUUCAGAUUGCAGUCUGCAACCCGACUGCAUGAAGCCGGAGUUGCUAGUAACCGCAGGUCAGCAAUACUGCGGUGAAUACGUUCCCGGGUCUU